ACCUCGGUGGUGUUGUGGUAGCACGUCACCGAAAUGGAUGAAACGCGGGUUCGACUCCCGUGUGAGGCC